GGGGUCUCCCUGAGGUGGAGGGUGGAAGGUGGGAGGAUGGAGAAGGGCAGAUAAAGGAACUAUUGUGUACUUGGCUUAGUACCUGAGUAAUGAAAUAAUCCGUACAGCAAGCCCUGUGACACAAGUGUGCUGCUCCAUAUAACAAACCUGCACAUGUACCCUUGAACAUAAACGUUUAAAAAGAAAGAAAGAAAACGGCUGCUGCUGAGGUGAAAAGCCAUUAUUGAGAUGAUGCAGACAGAAACAGGAGACAGGUAGGAGGAGUGAGUCUCCUCUCCCUCAUCCAGCCUCAGUGUCCUGGCAUGUCAACAAAACACCAGCCGGCUGACCACGCAGAAAUGUAGUUUGCAGAAUCCUCACCACGGCAUCGCAAAGCAGAGUAUAAAAGGGUGGCUUUGAAACAGAAAGAAAAUAGCUUAACAACCAGUACAAUGACUUUAGGUAGAUUACAUAGCCUCCCUAAGCUUCAAUUCCUAUACCUGUAUGACGGGAGAAGUACCUCCUCUCAAGGUUAUUGUAAGGAUUAAGUGAGAUAAUAGAUAUAGGCUGCUCAGUAAGGACACUGAAAGUAGCUGCAGAUCUAUCCCUGAUACCCCAUCUUUAGCCUCAACAUGGCAGCCAGAGGAGGACAAGGAUAGGGAAAAAGAUGGAAAGUGGAGAGAAGAAAGAAGAUGAAAGCAAGUAGAAGGAGGGAAGGAUGGAAAGAAUGCAAGAGGUACUUGGGACCACCAUCAGAGAGAAGGGCAAAAGCCCUGUGGACCGGUCCCUUGUCUCUUUGGGAAGGCUUUUCCCACUUUGAACAAAUUACAUGCUCCAGGUGCCUUCAGUGACUCCCAGGGGUGGUUGUGAUUUCUGCAAAAUCAAGAGAACUAAUAAGAGUAGCUAGAGGUAUGUGAUCAUUUUCUAAAAAGUUGAAGGCUCAGUGGUUUGGCAAAAGAGGACAGCAGGAGGUCUUAAUGAGUUAGACCACAAAUUAAUCUUGCCUUCUUUCCUUUAACUGUUUCUUUCCCCUGUGUCUUUGGCUGAUUCUAGCAGCGGUUCAACUGUGUAAUUAAGUCUCUUCUAAGAGAGCUGUGAAGCUGGGUCAGUACUGUAUGUUCUCGUGAUCAUUGGCUAUCAAGUUAAAGGUUGAAUUGAUAUUUCGAGCAGUUAUCAAACUUACCCUGCCCCAUUUUCAUGGAAACUGGCAACUGGAAAUGCUACCAGUAUUCAGAACCCUACUGCGAUCAACAAUUCCAAGGAGGGAUAAAAUCCAGAGCUAGCCUGAUGCCUCCAGCAAUAUUUCUCCAGCUCUUGAGUUGGUGCAAAGGUAAUUGCGGUUUUGGGUCGUGAAAUUUAAAUCACUGUAACUAGACUCAAACAAAUCUUUAUUAAUCAAAAUAGAAACCAUUAUAAUCAACACGUUUGCUAAUGAGAAAUCAGCUUGUUUAUGUCUGUAGCAUUAGCAUUAAAAUGUAUGCUUUGGGAUUAGACAAUCUCUCAGAAAGCAUUUUCUGCAUCCUGCUGGUUGUGGAAGCGUUUUCUCUGCAAAACGUUGUCAAGAUGCUUGAAGAAUUGGUGGCUGGUUGGCAAAGAGGUCAGGUGAAUACAGUGCAUGAGGCAAAACUGCACAGCGCAAUUCUUUCAACCUUUGAAGCGUUCGUUCUAUGAUGUGCAGUCGGGCGUUGUCAUGGAAAAGAAUUGGGCCCUUUCUGUUCACCAACGCCGGCUGCAGGCAUUGCAGGUUUUGGUGGAUCUCAUCAAUUUACUUUUUUUUUCCAGAAAGCUGUAGUGGAUCAGACUGGCAGCAGACCACCAGUCAGUGACCAAGACCUUUUUGCGAUGCAGGUUUGGCUUUGGGAAAUGCUUUGGAGCUUCUUCUCAGUCCAACCACUGAGGUAGUCAUCGCCGGCUGUCACAUAAAAUCCAUUUUUCAUUGCAUGUCAAAAAUCCAGUGAACAAAUGGUUUGUUGUUGUGACUAAGAGAAGAUGAUACUCAAAAAUGAUGAUUUUUAAGAAAAUUUUGCUCAGCUUAUGGGGCACGCACUUACUGAACUUUUUCACCUUUGUAAUUUGCUUCGAAUGCUGAGUGACCAUAGAAUGGUCAUUGUGAUCUUCGGCAACUUCUCAUGUAGUUGUAAGAGGAUCAGCUUUGAUGGCUGUUCUCAAUUGGUCACUGUUAGCUUCCAAUGGCCAGCCGCUAUGCUGUCAUCUUCAAAGCCCUCCUCUCGUUUGCAGAACUUCCUAAAGCACCACGGCACUGUCUAUUCGUUAGCAGUUCCUGGGCCAAAUGUGUUGUUGAUGCUGCAAGUUGUCUCUGCUGCUUUAUAACCCAUUUUGAACUUGAAGAAGAUAAUUGCUCAAAUUUGAUGUUUGUCUAACAGUAUUUCCAUAGUCUAAGAUAAAUAUAUAAUAAACAGCAACUAAUAAGUCAUUAGGAAAAAACACAAUGCAAGAAAUGCACAUUGAAAUGAUGUAUAACAUAACCACAUUUAUUUUAAGGAUGUAUUCCAAUAUCAAAUGGCAAAUUUCAACAGUGCAAAAACCACAAUUACAUUUGCACCAGCUGAAUAGCUAGAAAAGAGAAAACCAGGAUAAAAUAUAGUCUAAGAAACUGAAAAUGUACUGUUCACUCUAUUCCACCUGGACAGGAAGAAUCCUCACAUCCCACUUGGAGGUGUGCCCCUUUGCCUUUAUCCUUAUUUCCUUCCUGGAGACUGUAUGUAAGUUCCUUACAAUGAAAAAGAGUCACUUUCUAAAAGUGUAAAUUGAAAUGUGCUGCCUACAUAAACUUAUCAAAUUAGUUCUCCUGGUGGAAAAAAAUCUUAAUUAAAAGGCCGCUUUGAAAUAAGGAAAUGUAAUAAAACCUUUUCAUUUUGUUUGCCUUCACACCA